AUUUAGAUGACCUAGUCCUCCCGCAGUUCGCAGCCCAUAUGCCAGGCCCUGCUGCUGGUUCUGAGAGCGGCGGAGGAGGGGCGCGUCCACUCACCUCCGUUUGUACUCGUCACGCUCGCGCUUCACCUUGGCCAGCACGUUGUAGAGAGCGCGGAUCUCUGGCGUGAUGGUGUCGAUCUGCACGCCUACGCCGUCCGGGUGUACCCAGGACACGCCGGGGCCCUGCACAGUCUCCACGCCGCCGCCUCCCGUGCGCCGCACCUGCGUGUAGCUCCAGAUGGUCCCGGGCAGGCGACCGUAAUGCUGCGGGUGCGAGCCGCCGCCGGGGGGCAGGCCGCCCAGGGCCACCGCGUUGGCGUUGACGCCGGUGGCCGCGCCGAGGGCCUGCCCGCUUCCCGCAGCCGACGGCCGCAGCAGCUCGGGCCCGGUCUGCACGGCCUGCUCGCGGGAGAAGGUCUUGUAGCGCAGCCGCCGAUCGCGCUCGCUCUGCUGCUGCUCCAGCUGUUUCUCCAGGAGCCGGUUGCGCCGCUCAAGCUCGUGCACCUUGGCCAAGAAGCAGCGGAAACGCACGUUGAGCCCCUUGAGGAGGUGGAUGUUGGAGCCCAGAUCGUCCCGCAGCGCCGCCGUUACGGGCGAGGGCCCCGGCCCGGCCCCGCCACCCCCGCCGCCGCCUGCGCAGCCGCCGCCCCCCGGCGGGCAGCCGAAGGCCAAGGCCAUCUCUCCGAACAGCAGCGAGUUAACCAUGCGCCGGCUGCGUGGCUCAGGGCCCCGGGCCCGUGGCUCCAGAUGCGGCUCCAGCUCGGGGCCGGGCUCCCGGCGCGGCCGGGCCAGGGCGGGCGCGGGCUCCAGAGCGGCCGGGGUGGUGUUAGGUGCCAGAUGUGGCUCCGCUGCGUCGGGAGAGAUGGUGGGACGAGCUGGAGGUCGCGGUGGCUGCGUGGGGCUGGUGAGGGGUCCGGUGCCUGCGCCGCGACUGUCAGAGCUGCUAUGGACCGGCCGCAGCAGCAGCUCGCAGAGGACUCUCAGCCGGCGCUGCCCCCUCUGCGGCGAGCCCCGCCCUCUGCAGGCACAGACCACGCCUCCAGGGCCCGCCCUCUGCAGACACAGACCACACCCCCUGCCUAGCUGCUCUCUGCAGGCCUAGGCCACGCCCCUUCCCGGCCCGCCCUCUAUAGGCGAAGGCCUACCUCCCUUGCCUGGACCGCCCUCUGCGGACAUAGG
rnacentral:lncRNA from 1 species